rnacentral:lncRNA from 1 species
GUGCCGAAUCGAUUAAACGGCGCCGGGCGUCGUCGUAUUUCAGUGUCGUGCUCUCGCAGGAACGGAGAGACGUUUCUCCCCUCUCGCGUGGUGCGCGCGAGAUAUUUCUCCGCUUUCUCGCCGCACGACGAUCCGUACAAUGGGGAACGCCGUCGAACCCUCCGCGCGAGUCGCGAGGCGCGUAUUAACGCUCGCUGGUGUACAUUUAUGCUCGCGCGAGCGCGCAAGGAUAAAUGCAACGUCCGUGAGACGAACUUGGACGAUCGCUCAGCUUGAAAGCGAGACACGAAGGCCACUACGACGUGUGGUGUGGUCUUCAUGAGUUUCUCUCCGGAGAGUGGGUAUUUUCUCUCUCUCUCUCUGUCCCUCUUUUUUGUUCCCUCUUUCUCUCCCCUCCUCUCGAUCUUUCUCUCUCAGCACGUAACGUUGCUUCGUACGAUGCGGAAGGGCGGAUGCAUUCCUCACGGAGCAUUGUCCGCGAUGCAUAUCAGGCAUAAAUAUAUGUAUACGCUAAAAGAGAUACGCCGGGACGUGAAACCAAAAUGUUUGCUCCGCAUAUUGCACGCUAGCGUACUCGAGAAGCUUUCUCGCGUGCGUUCCCGCGCCCUCGCGCCGGCAUCUCUCCGACGAGGUCCCCUCGGGCGAGAUGAAAAGAAACGUCACUAUUUAUGUUUCAUUUGCUCGCAUUCCGCGGCACGCGCCGCGCUUGAAUAAAGAUAAGACGAGGAAAGCAGAAAUAUUUUAUGCUAUUCCUAUACUCCUCGCCGGGAUGGGGCGAUACGCGUCUAUCUUGUGUCGGCGACGAGCCGUUCGUACGUAUUUAUGCGCGGGGAUAUUUUUGUCGACGGCGACAACUCGGGAAAAAAGCCGCGAGAUGAGAAAUUGCGAAAUGCGCACGUUGCAAAUCGCGUAUUCACGCGACCGUUCUCGAAUGGGACGCGUCUCGCGGGGCAACCGAAAACGCGCGCGAAGCGAUGGAUGGAGAGCGACGUAACUUCGCGAAUCGAAAAACGUCGGCAUUUGGCGCCCGAGAUGCGUCGCGUGCAGCGACGAUUCGGGUUUCUCGCGAUGCUUCCUUCCUCCGUUUGCGACUUUCCAUAUUCGUCACGCGUUGAGCAACUUCGUGAAAAGUAAUCGGCAGGAACUGCGCACGCGCCGUCGCUUCUGCUACUGCUGCUGCGCGUUUGAGAACGGCGAUGCGCUCGUGCUGUUCCUCGAUGACGGAUCUCGAUCGCGAGGCGAGAUUUUCGUCGGUCGUAACGAAUCACCUGGCGAAAGGCCGCGCGUGAUGAAUUAGCGUUUGUCACUCGAGAGUGACGAACGGAGCCGCUCCGGAAAUUAAUACGUUUCAGCGCGCGAUGCGACAUUUACGCCCGCGUGGACGCGCGCACCUGCGGCCGCGUGUGUAUUUACUUAAUGCAUGUGUGCGUACGCAAUGAAUCUCACUCUCUGUCUUUCUUUCUUUCUUUUUCUAUCUCUCCUCCUAUCUCGGAUUGAGUUAUCGUGGUUAACUUUCUCUGGAAUCCAAGCGUCAGGCGAAGCAUCGCAUCGCGAUAGAGAACGUCGCGCAUUUGUGAGUCCAUCAUAAUUCAAUGAAAAUGGCCUGGAAAUGGUGUGGAACAGCCUUUCCUUCUUCAAGAUGUUUAAACUUCGAAUUAGAAGUCCGUUUAAACUUCGCGCGCAUUAGGCGCGUCUAUGGCAACGCCGCACGCGACGUUGCAUC